GAUGAAGAACGUAGUGAAAUGCGAUAAGUAAUGUGAAUUGCAGAAUUCAGUGAAUCAUCGAAUCUUUGAACGCACAUUGCGCCCGCUAGUAUUCUGGCGGGCAUGCCUGUCCGAGCGUCAUUUCAACCCUCAAGCCCCCGGGCUUGGUGUUGGGGAUCGGCGAGCCUCCGCGCCCGCCGUCCCCUAAAUCUAGUGGCGGUCUCGCUGUAGCUUCCUCUGCGUAGUAGCACACCUCGCACUGGGAAACAGCGCGGCCACGCCGUUAAACCCCCAACUUCUGAACGUUUGACCUCGGAUCAGGUAGGAAUACCCGCUGAACUUAAGCAUAUCAUAAGCGGAGGA
rnacentral:misc_RNA from 1 species